UUCGCAAUGCCCGAAAGGGUGACGAAGCGACGCCGCGUGCGGGAAGAAGGCCUUCGGGUUGUAAACCGCUGUCGGGAGUUAAGAAAUGUAAGGACGUUAAUAGCAUCUUUGCUUGACUAAGGCUCCGGAGGAAGCCACGGCUAACUCUGUGCCAGCAGCCGCGGUAAUACAGAGGCGGCAAGCGUUGUUCGGAAUUAUUGGGCGUAAAGAGCACGUAGGCGGCUAUGUAAGUCGGUUGUGAAAGCCUUCCGCUCAACGGGAGAACAGCAUCCGAUACUGCAUGGCUUGAGUGCGGGAGGGGAGAGUGGAACUUCUGGUGGAGCGGUGAAAUGCGUAGAUAUCAGAAGGAACGCCGGCGGCGAAAGCGGCUCUCUGGCCCAUAACUGACGCUGAGUGUGCGAAAGCUAGGGGAGCAAACGGGAUUAGAUACCCCGGUAGUCCUAGCCGUAAACGAUGGGCACUAAGUAGAGGGGUUUU
rnacentral:rRNA from 1 species